GCAAUAGCCGUCAUUUCAACGUCUCGUUUCAGUAUAGACCCGAUAUAGCCGGGCUGUGCCUAGCCCACUUCUAGCCCCAUAAUUUGUGAGAUGUAUGCUAUUUCAUCAUGUAAGCAAAGUUAACAGCGAUUACAAGAUCGGGAAGCUGUGAAGGAGGUGCUGCCCGGCCUUCGCAGAGUCAGCGUGCCUCACAUCACCCUGACCACAGACGCUCGUAGGCGGCUGAGGCGUGCUGCGAGCCAGCACCCGUCUCGAUGCAGCUUCACGGACCGCGUUGGGGUGAACGGAGACGCCAUCGCCCAGCAUGAAAACGAUGCUGUGUUGAACAACUUCCCAGCAGCAACAGAACUGGAAGUGAAGGAUGCAAUGGGAGGCAUUUCAAACAGUCACCAGGGAGGACGUGGUGUAUAGAAAUUAGUACAAUGAAUAAGUUGAAGUGAACUGAAGAUAGUUUGUUAAUGUUUAGAUGUUAUUUCAUUUAUAAAAUUGUAUUUUGUUAUUUAUGCUUUUAUUUUGUUACUGUUUUUAUUCUUUUUGUUAAAAGUAGUUUUUAUUCAUUUUGUCUUUGAAUUUCUAUUGUAUUAACAAUAUUUUUUGUAAUAAAUUGCAUGAUUGCAUGUUUAUG